rnacentral:rRNA from 1 species
GACUCUCGGCAACGGAUAUCUUGGCUCUCGCAUCGAUGAAGAGCGCAGCGAAAUGCGAUACGUAGUGCGAAUUGCAGAAUCCCGUGAACCAUCGAGUAUUUGAACGCAAGUUGCGCCCGAGGCCAGCCGGCGAGGGCACGUCCGCUUGGGCGUGAAGCAUCGCAUCGCUCCGUGCC